GCUUAACACAUGCAAGUCGAACGGAAAGGCCCUGCUUUUGUGGGGUGCUCGAGUGGCGAACGGGUGAGUAACACGUGAGUAACCUGCCCUUGACUUUGGGAUAACUUCAGGAAACUGGGGCUAAUACCGGAUAGGAGCUCCUGCUGCAUGGUGGGGGUUGGAAAGUUUCGGCGGUUGGGGAUGGACUCGCGGCUUAUCAGCUUGUUGGUGGGGUAGUGGCUUACCAAGGCUUUGACGGGUAGCCGGCCUGAGAGGGUGACCGGCCACAUUGGGACUGAGAUACGGCCCAGACUCCUACGGGAGGCAGCAGUGGGGAAUAUUGCACAAUGGGCGGAAGCCUGAUGCAGCAACGCCGCGUGCGGGAUGACGGCCUUCGGGUUGUAAACCGCUUUCGCCUGUGACGAAGCGUGAGUGACGGUAAUGGGUAAAGAAGCACCGGCUAACUACGUGCCAGCAGCCGCGGUGAUACGUAGGGUGCGAGCGUUGUCCGGAUUUAUUGGGCGUAAAGGGCUCGUGGGUGGUUGAUCGCGUCGGAAGUGUAAUCUUGGGGCUUAACCCUGAGCGUGCUUUCGAUACGGGUUGACUUGAGGAAGGUAGGGGAGAAUGGAAUUCCUGGUGGAGCGGUGGAAUGCGCAGAUAUCAGGAGGAACACCAGUGGCGAAGGCGGUUCUCUGGGCCUUUCCUGACGCUGAGGAGCGAAAGCGUGGGGAGCGAACAGGCUUAGAUACCCUGGUAGUCCACGCUGUAAACGGUGGGUACUAGGUGUGGGGUCCAUUCCACGGGUUCCGUGCCGUAGCUAACGCUUUAAGUACCCCGCCUGGGGAGUACGGCCGCAAGGCUAAAACUCAAAGGAAUUGACGGGGCCCCGCACAAGCGGCGGAGCAUGCGGAUUAAUUCGAUGCAACGCGUAGAACCUUACCUGGGUUUGACAUGGAUCGGGAGUGCUCAGAGAUGGGUGUGCCUCUUUUGGGGUCGGUUCACAGGUGGUGCAUGGCUGUCGUCAGCUCGUGUCGUGAGAUGUUGGGUUAAGUCCCGCAACGAGCGCAACCCUUGUUCACUGUUGCCAGCACGUUAUGGUGGGGACUCAGUGGAGACCGCCGGGGUCAACUCGGAGGAAGGUGGGGAUGACGUCAAGUCAUCAUGCCCCUUAUGUCCAGGGCUUCACGCAUGCUACAAUGGCUGGUACAGAGAGUGGCGAGCCUGUGAGGGUGAGCGAAUCUCGGAAAGCCGGUCUCAGUUCGGAUUGGGGUCUGCAACUCGACCUCAUGAAGUCGGAGUCGCUAGUAAUCGCAGAUCAGCAACGCUGCGGUGAAUACGUUCCCGGGGCUUGUACACACCGCCCGUCAAGUCAUGAAAGUUGGUAACACCCGAAGCCGGUGGCCUAACCGUUGUGGGGGAGCCGUCGAAGGUGGGACUGGUGAUUAGGACUAAG
rnacentral:rRNA from 1 species